rnacentral:lncRNA from 1 species
GCAGGAGGCAGCUGGAUGCGGUAGAAAGAGAGGAGAGGGGUCUUAAUCCUUCUCCGUGAGAGAAGGUAUCAUCUGGGAGCAGAGGAAGCAGAGCUGCUGCCUCACACCUGAGAAAGGUGCUGGAAGACUUAUAAGCUGGUGUUAUUGGACACGGACAUGGUCAUCACAAUCCCUAGAGUGUCAGGGAGCGGGUCCUCUUCCACAGAGUCUGCCAUGUUGCACCGCCAUGUUUCUACAGUAGCCCUGAACGGACAAACCACUGGCUUGAGGUCCAGGACAGCCAUCUGUAUUGCUGCUGUAGGUCAAAAACAACAAAGAUUUUGUGAUUUGCCUCCAAUUCUGUGGCCCAUAAAAAUGGCUGUCUCAUCCAAAUAUUGACAUUGUCCCAUCACAGUCUGUCAUCACAGGAAUGAUGGCUGUAAGGUGUUGAAUGACCCACAUAGAUCUAUAUGCCACGGGCUGUCUUUAAUCUGGAGACCAUAGAGAAGG